rnacentral:rRNA from 1 species
CCCUUAGAUGUUCUGGGCCGCACGCGUGCUACACUGAGUGGAUCAGCGGGUCAGGUUGCGCGAAAGUGUUUCCUAAUCUUGAAAUCCGCUCGUGAUGGGGAUUGACGGUUCAAUUUUCCGUCAUGAACGAGGAAUACCUUGUAAGCGCGGGUCAUCAUCCCGCGCUGAAUACGUCCCUGCCCUUUGUACACACCGCCCGUCGCUCCUACCGAUUGAGUGGUCCGGUGAGGCUUUGGGAUCUGAGCGGAAAGAGCGUUUCGCUGUUUCUGCUCGGAAAACUCAGUCGAACCUUAUCAUUUAGAGGAAGGAGAAGUCGUAACA